GACGAACCGUGCGAACGUUAUUCGGAAUCACUGGGCUUAAAGCGCGUGUAGGCGGCCCGGAGCGUCAGCGGCUGAAAUCCCCCGGCUCAACCGGGGAACGGGCCCUGAAACGUCCGGGCUGGAGGGGGGUAGGGGGAUCGGGAACUUCCGGUGGAGCGGUGAAAUGCGUUGAGAUCGGAAGGAACGCCCGCGGCGAAAGCGCGGUCCUGGACCCCACCUGACGCUGAGACGCGAAAGCCAGGGGAGCGAACGGG
rnacentral:rRNA from 1 species